AUUAAUGAAAUUUCAAAGAAGCUUACUUUUUAUAUAGGGCAUUGAAAUUCAAAUUGAAUUGAGUUGAAAUCUUUUGAAACUUGCAUGAUUUAUACAUUGUGGGAUAUGUUUUUUGAGUUAAAGAACACAUAACUUGUGAGAUUUUGAGCCUUAUUGUGUUGUUACAUUAUUUGACCACUUAUUCCAUUAUUGUGUGUUGCUCUUCUCUAUGAUUGCAAUCUUUGGUUUGUUUAAGUCUAUAUCCAUUGUUUAAUGUAUAUUUAUGUAAUUAUGUGAUUGAGGCCAUCACUUCAUUAUAGCUCACUUAACCCAAAUAGCCUACCAUUUCAUUCACCUUUGUUUGCCACUUUGAACCUUUUUAAUCCCCCUUUGUUCUUUAUUUUGCCACGUCAUUAACCUUAAGCGAAAAACAAUGAAGUGUCCCUUAUUUGAAUCUUUGAGUAGCUUAAGUUAGUGAGAGUGUGUAAUGUUUAAGUGUGGGGAAAAUGUGGGAACUUUGGGUGAUAAAAAUGUGUUUUAUGCUUAUUGAAAAAUGUUAGAAAUUUGGGUACAUGCUCAUGUAAUAUUAUAGAAACCAUAUGCAUUCAUGAGUUGGUAUAUAUAUUAUGUUCUUUAAAAAAAAGAAAAAGAAAGAAAAGAAAAAGAAAUAAUGAAAAGGGGACAAAAUUACCCCAAUGUGAAAUCUAAUAAAAAUCAAUGCAUAUAUGAUUGAAUUUGAUGCAUGAGCGUGUAUAUAUUAAAAGUGAGAUUAUGGGUAGCUAAGUUUGAUAUUAGAAUUGUAUAUGUUGUGUAUGUCUUAGGUGAGAAUUUAGGCUAAUCAAAUAUAUAUAGAUAGUUAGAUAGUAUAGGUACAUACACAGAGAUAGAUUGCAUAUAGAUAAUUAUAUUGAAUAAAUGUUGAUCCCCUUCUUGUCUUCUUUUGGUAUAGCAUGAGGACAUGCUAUUGUUUAAGUGUGGGGUUGUGAUGAAUCCACAUUUUCUGAUAUUUAUUUGCUCUAUCUGGGUGGAUUUCAUCAACUUUUCCUACACUUAUUCCUUUAAAUAGCAUAGCUUUGUAAUUCUCCCUAGAUUUGUGCUUAAUUGUAAAAACAUGCUUUUUAAGCCUUAAAAUAGCUAAUUUUAUUCCACUUUCAUUGCAUUCGAUGCCUUGAUGUGUUUGAUGAGUAAUUCCAGGAUUCCAAGGAAAAUAUGGAUGGAAGAAGUGAUGGAAAGGCAUGUAUGAUAAACCCCGAUUUCGUGAUUUAUCUUGUGAUUAUUUUAGGGGAUUUUACCACCUUUUUCCAUAUUUAUUCAAUGAAAUAGCAUGGUUUUGUAAUUAUCCCUUGAAUUUUGCUUAAGUGUAAAAACAUGAUUUUUAGGCCUUAAAUUGGUAAUUUUGAUUGACUUUAAUUCCAUUCGAUGCCUUGAUAUGUGUAUUGAGUGAUUUCAGGUUUAUAAGGCAAGUAUUGGAUGGAAGAAAUGAGUAGAAAAACAUACAAAGGGGAGAAUGCAUGAAGAAACAAAGAUUGGAAAUGCAUCAAAGGACGCGCACGCGCACAAGGCGCGCCUGCGCAAAAGUGGUCUCGCCCAUAGACGCGCAUGCGUACAUGCCGCAUCCGCGCGGAUGGAGAAUUUACCAAUCGACGCGCACGCGCACAUGGCGCACACGCGCCGGUACUCUCACAUGGCCCACUUAAAGGCAAAAUGCUGGGGGCGAUUUCUGAGCUACCCAGGCCCAAAUCCAACUUGUUUCUGAGUGUAUUUCAUGCAGAAUUGAAGUCCAAGAAAAGGGAGAGCAAUUAGUUUUAGCC
rnacentral:lncRNA from 1 species